AAUGAAGUUCUGCUGCUAAUAAUGCCAAGCCACAGCAUUAAAUAAAAAAAGCACACCAAGAGGGAGCAAAAAAAGGAAGGGUACAGAGUGACCAGUUAGCAAAAGCCAGGAGGCGAAGGGACAAGAACUGAGGUGACGCCUGUGACAGAAGACCAUGGAUCCAGAGAAGUGCUGCUUGAGCAGCAUGACCACUGGCCCUAAUGUGCAGCCUAGAUGUUUUUUCUGCUCCAAAGUAAGAACAGAGGGGAGGAAAUGAGCAAACCUUUCCCAAAAGCACAACUUGAGACCUUACAGGAACAAAUCUCCAGACUGCAGGAAUUCCAGGUUUCAUGGGAAAAAAAUUUUCUCUUUUGGCUCUUAGCAGAACUAUUAAUCACCAUUCUUGUGAGAUGAAAUUGAAUAACUGACAAAACCAAAAAAGGAAUAUAAAUUCAAGUGAGAGUUGCCUACACUUUUGCAUUUCUUCUGUUUCCCUGUUUAUGUAAGAAAAUAAGAGCCAUCAUACCAGCUUGCACAACUUCCCCCACCCACAACCCCCAGGUCUUUAUCCUGUUGCUAACCAAGAGCACAAACCAUCAAUAAUGGGUGAAGAAGAGGAUGAUAAACUCUGCCAGUAUCAACCACAGGGGAUGGACAGCCUCAGUUUAAAGCAGCUUUUCCAACAGCACCUUAAAUAGUGAUCAGUGUGUUUCUCCUUGAGUCACACCUCUUGAAACCAACUGUGCAUUCACUUUACUAAAAACUUCACACAGCAAUUAGUUUUGGGUUUUACUUACGUGAAAGAGUAGUGUUUUCUGCUUUAACUGUAUGUCUGAUCAUUUCCCUGUUUCCUUUCUCAUGAGAGGUACUGAAAAAUAGGUUCCAGUGUAAUUUUUCCUGAUGCUGAAAGUCCUCUCCUUUCUUAGCCACAGAGUGACAGACAAUUUGGUUUAUUCUUGUAGCAAAGCCCUCUUUGCCUCUGAAUACCCUUACUGCUCUUUUUAAUAACUUAUUUUCAUGCUAUAAUAUAUUUUUCGUCAGUGGAGACCAGAAUCACACCCAGUGCUCAAGAUAAGGAUGUGUUGCAUCAGUAUAAUAACAUUUCCUGUUUUGUUCUCUGUUCUUUUGCUAGUAACUCUUCAUAAUCUCUUUGCCCUCUUGGUAGCUUCUGAACAUCAGGCUUUUUUGCAGAGAACAUCCAAAAUUACCUCAAGAUGUCCUUUCCAUGUCCUUUUCCAGCGAAAGAUGAUCACUUUGUAUGUGUUUGUAGGAUUAUUUCUCUGGGAAUAGGGCUUUGCUUAGUUCAACAGCUGAAAUAAACCAAAUAAAGGUGGAGGACACCUGAUCUCAUGGCAUUUCCCAUGAAAAUGUAUCUACUGUUCCAAAGCAAUCAUUCUGCUACAGAACUGACUGGCAUUUCAGUUUCACAGGAUCUAGGAAAAUUCCAGUGUUUGGGCCUCAUCCUGGAGCCUCAGUCCUGGACUGGUGUGUUUGGAAGGGACAGGCGGAGAGUACGACUGUUGGGUUCUGGCAUGUGAGGCUGAGAUGUGGUGCAGGAGGACAGAGAGGGGCACCUGCUCAUGUCACACAGUGCAGAGCACACUCCUCGCUGCUGAUGUGGGAGGUCUCAGACAAGCUUGUUUCUGCAGGCUGUCAGCUGCAGAGGAUAACUUCAGGGAGUUUGGCCUGUGUCAUAGACCCUGAGAGCAGUUGGGCAGGAGUGCUGGAAACCUUCAGCUCUUUGAAAGCACUGGGUCCUCAGAAGCUGCUAGCAGCCUGCAAACUCUGCUGCUGGCUGUGGAGAUGAGGUGGAACACAGAUGCUUACAAUUGACAUUUUUGGAUAUGAAACAGCCAAGAACUAAUCUCCAUAUCUGACUGAACACACGCUGA